CAGCCGCCACGGUAAUACGGAGGGAGCUAGCGUUGUUCGGAAUUACUGGGCGUAAAGCGCACGUAGGCGGCUUUGUAAGUCAGAGGUGAAAGCCUGGAGCUCAACUCCAGAACUGCCUUUGAGACUGCAUCGCUCGAAUCCGGGAGAGGUGAGUGGAAUUCCGAGUGUAGAGGUGAAAUUCGUAGAUAUUCGGAAGAACACCAGUGGCGAAGGCGGCUCACUGGACCGGUAUUGACGCUGAGGUGCGAAAGCGUGGGGAGCAAACAGGAUUAGAUACCCCUGUAGUCCCUGUCUCUUAUAC
rnacentral:rRNA from 1 species